UUGUCUACCAGAGGGCUCUCAGACUACAAACUCUAAGCUUGAGGAUCUGGAGGGGCAUUGGCGGGAUUCAAUAUUGUAAAAAAUAAACAAAACAAAACAACAACAACAAAAACCAGAAUAUCAUGCUAAACUACAAGGGCUAUAAAAUCUUGUUCUCUCAGUCCUUCAUACCCCCCCCUCCAAUCUGGAUGAUUUCUUGACUUUUUUGAGACAAGAUGAUUAAAACGUAAAAUAACUCUAAAGGAGUUUUGAACAAUAACAUUAUAAAGAAGUAGCUUCAGAGAGAUAGCUACAUAACUCAGUGGAUUGAAAGUCAGGCCUAGAGAUGGGAGGUCCUAGGUUCAAAUCUAGCCCAGACACUUCCUUGUGUGUGACCCCCAUUGCCUGAAAACCAAUACACAGUAUUGAUUCUAAGACAAAAGGUAAGGGUUUAAAAAAAAAAAGUAGCUUCAUCCAGCGAUCUUUCCCCACCUCAAACAUCUCAAACAGGAGACAGGAGAAGAAAAAGGUGGAAUGGAGGGAAAGGAAGAGGUUUCUGUCCUCAUCAGCUCUAUAAGCAGUCCCAGAGUACAGGAAAGUAGGGCAAGAAUAUGGAAGCUAUUCCCCAUUCCCAGAUACCCUCACUCCCCAGGCCGGUAUCCCCAGUGCCCAAAGUUACAUGACACUAUGACAUCAUGUCAACACUGGGCUAGGAAGAGGACCUAGAACCAGACUGAAGGGCUCUGAAUACUGGGACAAGGAUUUUUAAACUCUACAGGCAACAAAAAUGUCAGUGGAAUGAAAUAGAAGAUUAGAUAGAUAUUAAGUGGCUUACUAAAUAAUAUGGAUACAAAUAGAAACACAGAAGUCCCUGCCCUCAAGGAGUUGGAGGAGGAGCCCUCAAUUCUAAUUGGAGAAGACAACACAUAUAAGAAGGUUUGCCUUCUUGACCAAAGGAAAGGCCAAAAAGUACCUGGCAGGCAAAAAAAAGCAUCUGGCAGGCAAACAGCAAGGCAGAUGGUUAGACCCCGUGGACUUUGGGGAACAAUGGUUCCUCAGGAGACAAGUAAGAUGAUCUGGUACUCCCAACUCUGAGGCCUUGCCACAUUUUGUUGUGAUCCACACAGUCAAAGGCUUUAGUGUGGUCAAUGAAGCAGAAGCAGAUAUUUUCCUGAAACUCCUUCACUUUUUCCAUAAUCCAGAAAAUGUUAAUGAUUUGAUCUCUAGUUCUCUCUCUUCAAAAACCUGCCUGUUCUUCAAGGAAUUCUCAGGUCACAUAAGGUGGAAGCUUGCAGGAUCUUAAGAAUAACUUUUACAUAAUUUCAAACACCUUAAUCAAGAUGAAUUGUCUUCUUUUUGUACAAAAAUAUUUAUAGCUGUACUAUUUGUGGGGGCUAAAAAAUGGAAAACGAGGGGGUGUCCCUCAAUUGGGAAAUGGCUGAACAAACCGUGGUAUAUGACAUUGAUGGAAUACCAUUGUGCUAUAAGGAAUGAUGAACUGCUUGAUUUCUAUAAGAACCAGGAAGACCUAUAUGAACUGAUGCGGAAUGAAAUUAAUAGAUCCAGGAGAACAUUGUACCCAGAAAGUGAAACAUUGUGGGACAAUCAAAUGAAAUAGACUUUGCUACUAAUAGCAAUGCAAUGAUCCAGCAGGGAUUUAUGAGAAAGAACACUAUCCACAUCUAGAAAAAGAACUUUGGGAGUAGAAAUCCAGAAGAAAUUAUAUGAUUUAUCACUUGUUUAUAUAGGUAUGAAAUUUGGGGUUUGGUUUUAAAAGCUUACUCUAUUACAAAAAUGAAUAAUAUGGAAAUAGGUAUCAAGUGAUAAUACAUGUAUAACCCAGUGGAAUUGCUUGUCAGCUCUGGAGGUAGGGAGAAAAGAGGGGAGGGAGAGAAUCAUUUAACCAAGUAUAUUAAGUUAAAAUGUAAAAUAAAGAUGAACGGUCUUGUGACA
ensembl:lncRNA